rnacentral:rRNA from 1 species
UACGUAGGAGGCGAGCGUUGUCCGGAUUUACUGGGCGUAAAGCGUCCGCAGGUGGCACCUCAAGUCUGCUGUCAAAGACCGGGGCUUAACCCCAGAAAGGCAGUGGAAACUGAAGUGCUAGAGUGCAGUAGGGGUAGAGGGAAUUCCCGGUGUAGCGGUGAAAUGCGUAGAUAUCUGGAGGAACACCGGUGGCGAAGGCGGCAUCCUGGACCGGUAUUGACGCUGAGGCGCGAAAGCCAGGGGAGCAAAGCGGGG